rnacentral:rRNA from 1 species
CUACGGGUGGCUGCAGGCGAGAAAACUUUGCAAUGUGCGAAAGCACGACAAGGUUAAUCCGAGUGGUUUCUGCUAAAGGAACCUUUUGUUAGUCCUAGAAACACUGAUGAAUAAGGGGUGGGCAAGUUCUGGUGUCAGCCGCUGCGGUAAAACCAGCACCUCAAGUGGUCAGGAUGAUUAUUGGGCCUAAAGCAUCCGUAGCCGGCUUUGUAAGUUUUCGGUUAAAUCCAUACGCUCAACGUAUGGGCUGCCGGGAAUACUGCAAAGCUAGGGAGUGGGAGAGGUAGACGGUACUCGGUAGGAAGGGGUAAAAUCCUUUGAUCUAUUGAUGACCACCUGUGGCGAAGGCGGUCUACCAGAACACGUCCGACGGUGAGGGAUGAAAGCUGGGGGAGCAAACCGGAUUAGAUACCCGAGUAGUC